rnacentral:rRNA from 1 species
UACGUAGGGGCAAGCGUUGUCCGGAAUCAUUGGCGUAAGCGCGUGUAGGCGGCUGACUAAGUCCGCUCUGAAAGCCCGGGCUCAACCCCGGGAGGCGGGUGGAUACUGGUCAGCUCGAGUCCGGAAGAGGAGUGUGGAAUCCCUGGUGUAGCGGUGAAAUGCGCAGAUAUACAGGAGGAACACCAAUGGCGAAGGCAGCACUCUGGGACGGUAGCUGACGCUGAGACGCGAAAGCGUGGGGAGCAAACAGG